rnacentral:rRNA from 1 species
CAGCCGCCGCGGUAAUACGAAGGGUGCAAGCGUUACUCGGAAUUACUGGGCGUAAAGCGUGCGUAGGUGGUGGUUUAAGUCCGUUGUGAAAGCCCUGGGCUCAACCUGGGAAUGGCAAUGGAUACUGGCAAGCUAGAGUGUGUCAGAGGAUGGUGGAAUUCCCGGUGUAGCGGUGAAAUGCGUAGAGAUCGGGAGGAACAUCAGUGGCGAAGGCGGCCAUCUGGGACAACACUGACGCUGAGGCACGAAAGUGUGGGGAGCAAACAGGAUUAGAUACCCCCGUAGUCCCUGUCUCUUAUAC